CAAUUAUCAUUCAACCAGCGUAAAUCAUGACGUCACAGAUUGCUCAGUCUCUAAAUAACGCAGCAACCACUCAACGCUAGCGCCAGCAUCAUAAUAUGGCUCCUUAGCUCUAGGGCGUUCUUUUCAGCUUUGCUGUCUGACUUGAAACCGCAAGAAAAGUUUAACCCACAACGACAUUUCAAAGAGCAUCAGUGCCGUAGAGAACGUACAUGGGGUAACGCUGUGCAAUGUCAGUUGCUCCUUGUAAGGCGAGAAGAAGACUAUAGACACAUCUUGGUUUUUUUUUCUACAAAUGCUUUGCUCAAAUUUUCCCGGCGUCUUAUUGUUCAUCAUGCUGUUUGCGGAUGUGCUUGUAAUAGAAGGUCUUAUCAAGUGUCACUUUUGUGACACCAGGGAAGGGCCUUGUGGUACGGACACUUUGCAGGGAACAAGGCAACGAACGUGCUCCCGUUGGUUCAACCAGUGCUCGCUCUAUAGGAGGGUCUUCCCUAAUGGAACAACAGCACAAGUUGUGAGAGGCUGUGACAGGGAUUGCAACAAACCCUCCAGGAAGUGGACACUUGGCCGAUACCAGAAAACUACUCACUGCAAAUUGUGUUGCGACAGCGACUUGUGCAACACACAUCUGGAUGAUCCUUGCAGUAGAUCGUCUACUUCGGUGGCUUCUACAAUACUGUGGUUCUGCGUGUUGGUUACUUUAGGACUGUGUCAAAACUAGCGCACAAAUGGAGGGAGAUCUUUAGCGCUGCGCAGAGAGAUACCAACCCUUUAAUCUCGGUGGGGCGACUCCCAUAUGAAAAGGAAGAAGGAUGCUCGUCGGAAAAUUUGAAUUAAACCCCUAAAGGACACAAAUCCGGGCGUGAGCUAUAUUUGACCUCUAUAGGCUCGAUUACCAGCCGCUGUUCAGGAAAGGAGCCCGCGCUAGUAGACCGGACUUGAGAGAAUGGCAGAAAACGAGCCCAGAAACUGAAAGAAGAGCGUUUUAAUUAAUUAAUAGUAUUUCUUCGAGUGCACCCUAAAAGAUACUUUGACAGCUAAAAAUAGCGGCGUUUCG